rnacentral:misc_RNA from 1 species
GAUGAAGAACGUAGCGAAAUGCGAUAAGUAAUGCGAAUUGCAGAAUUUCCGUGAGUCAUCGAAUCUUUGAACGCACAUUGCGCCCUUUGGUAUUCCUUAGGGCAUGCCUGUUCGAGCGUCAUUUAAACCUUCAAGCUAAGCUUGGUGUUGGGUGACUGUCCGCUUCACUGCGGACUCGCCUCAAAAUUAUUGGCGGCCGGUACAUUGGCUUCGAGCGCAGCAGAAACGCGAACUCGGGCCCGUCGUAUUGGCUCCCAGAAGCUAUCUUCACAAUUUUGACCUCGGAUCAGGUAGGGAUACCCGCUGAACUUAAGCAUAUCAAUAAGCGGAGGA